GUCACGGGAUCGUUAGCAGGAAUCUUAGUCUUGCCUCUUUUCCGCCCAGCGACUGCCGCCCUGCACUGCGAAAAGGAUCAUGUGCGUUGGCCCGGUCCUUUCGGUUCCGGAUUCCUCAGCCCCCAGCCCCCCGGGGUCGUCAGGAUCGGGUCUGUACGCAUGACAAGGAGGGCCAACGCGAGUUGGUCCUUUU
rnacentral:sRNA from 1 species